rnacentral:lncRNA from 1 species
AUAGUACUCCAAAGACGUAUCAAUACAUAGAAUGAUCCACAUACAUGUUCAUACAAGCAAAGCAAAAUUCAGAAAGUCUUCCUUUGCCACCUCAACUGAGGCCUAUCUUUUAUUUCGAUGUUCAAUUGGCCUUUGAAUGAAGUUUUCAACUUCUAUUUAAAAGGAAAAAAAUAAUUCUUUUUUUAAAACAUUUCUGCUCAAUUCUUGAGAUUUUUCAGAGGAAUAUUUCCUGCUCGAACUCCAACGGUUCACCUGCUUUGCCAAGAAAUGGAAUUAAAAAAAAAAAAUGGUAAGUACUGGUUUUUUUUCUGAUAAGCAGCAUUUUAUUAAUAAGACAAGAAAAAAAUUUGACAUGAAAAAUCUAAUUAAAAUCGGUUAUCAGACUUUUUAAUAUAUCCAUCCUAUGAUCAAUCAUGCUAAGUAAAAAAAUUUGGAUAAAAAAUCCAUCAAAACGGAUUAAAAAAUGUGAAACUGGUUGAGAAGCAAAUGUGAAGCUGUAUCUAAAGUAAUCAUGUUAUUUCAAUGAAAAUAAAUAGUCAAAAUUUUAAUUUAGUUGAAGACAUCAAAACACAACUUUAAUUUUUUACCGAUCGAUUUUUUUUUUUUUUUCAAAUUACACCACGAUUACAACACAUGAAUGUUAAGAAUUAUAUGCCAAUCAGAAUUAAAUAAAUUAAGUAUUUUAAAAAUGCAAUUCAAAACAAUUUAUACUUUUAGAUUUUGUAACUUUUUAUCUUAAAGAACUAUUUAACUCACUAAAAUAUGAUUUUGAUUUGAUUACCAAUCUUAAGUUUAAUUGAAUUUGCUUUAAAAGAUAAUUUAAUUUAUUCUAAAAUGUAACUGAAAAAAAUUAAAAUUUAAUUGAUAAUAAUAAGAUUUUUUUUUUCACUUUAUCAUUAAGUUAUAAUUUAUCAAUAAAGAAAAUCAACAACACUUUGAAAUAGAUAUUCCCAUAGUUUACUAGAAACGGACCUUCAUUUGCAGCUCUCUCCAGUAAUUAGUUGUUCUUCUCAUCCCAUAAAACCUGUAGAGGCAAAAGUCCUUCGAGAGCUAGAAAUAUC